rnacentral:siRNA from 1 species
UGCCUCGUCGGAAACACGUCGGUA